rnacentral:rRNA from 1 species
UACAGAUGUCUCAAGCGUUGUUCGGAUUCAUUGGGCGUAAAGGGUGUGUAGGUGGCGCCGUAAGUCGGGUGUGAAAUUUCGGAGCUUAACUCCGAAACUGCAUUCGAUACUGCGGUGCUUGAGGACUGGAGAGGAGACUGGAAUUCAUGGUGUAGCAGUGAAAUGCGUAGAGAUCAUGAGGAAGACCAGUGGCGAAGGCGGGUCUCUGGACAGUUCCUGACACUGAGACACGAAGGCCAGGGGAGCAAACGGG